rnacentral:tRNA from 2 species
GCCGCGCUAGCUCAGUUGGUAGAGCAGCUGACUUUUAAUCAGCGGGUCCGGGGUUCGAUCCCCCGGCGCGGUACUU